AGAGUUUGAUCAUGGCUCAGAUUGAACGCUGGCGGCAGGCCUAACACAUGCAAGUCGAGCGGUAACACAGGGAGCUUGCUCCUGGGUGACGAGCGGCGGACGGGUGAGUAAUGUCUGGGAAACUGCCUGAUGGAGGGGGAUAACUACUGGAAACGGUAGCUAAUACCGCAUAACGUCGCAAGACCAAAGAGGGGGACCUUCGGGCCUCUUGCCAUCAGAUGUGCCCAGAUGGGAUUAGCUAGUAGGUGGGGUAACGGCUCACCUAGGCGACGAUCCCUAGCUGGUCUGAGAGGAUGACCAGCCACACUGGAACUGAGACACGGUCCAGACUCCUACGGGAGGCAGCAGUGGGGAAUAUUGCACAAUGGGCGCAAGCCUGAUGCAGCCAUGCCGCGUGUAUGAAGAAGGCCUUCGGGUUGUAAAGUACUUUCAGCGGGGAGGAAGGCGUUGAGGUUAAUUACAGAAGAAGCACCGGCUAACUCCGUGCCAGCAGCCGCGGUAAUUC
rnacentral:rRNA from 1 species